GUCUACGGCCAGAACACCCUGAACGCGCCCGAUCUCGUCUGAUCUCGGAAGCUAAGCAGGGUCAGGCCUGGCUAGUAUCUUGGAUGGGAGGCCAUUGGAACAGGAUUGAUAGUAGCAU
ensembl:rRNA 5S_rRNA 5S ribosomal RNA